rnacentral:lncRNA from 1 species
CGAAACAAAAGUUUGUAUCAAUACCUCACGUCGUUGGAGCUCAAUUGACCGUGCCAGAGCCUUUCUCUUUGUUAAAAGAUUCUUUGGUCUUAAAGUUAAAGGUCGCUGGUAGUCCUUUCCCCGGUAAACAACUAUAGCAUAUCCUUUUGAAACUUUGUCAACCGAAACUAAAAUGCCUCCACUCUCGGCUUCGAGUGCCAAUGCGACCUUUUUCACUUGAUCAAAGGUUUUAGCCUUCACAAUUAUCUUAACCAGUUCCCUAUAUUUCCAGUGCAGGUGCAUGUUCUCAAUGGUACCAUCAAAAACUCCACGUCUACCUGACACCAAAAAUCAGGUUCAUAUAAAACAAAUUUGAUUUAAAUUUGUUUUAUGGAUAAGCAUCAUGUGUAGUUUUAAUCAAAUUUACUAUCCCACCCUUACUCUCUAACCAAGGACACCCUGAUUUCUUCCUUCCACCCUUUGCUAAAGGUGAAAUGAACCAAAAUGGUCCUGAAAUAAAUUGACAAUUUUAUAUGCUCUUACCAAGAAGUAAGAAGGCUUUCAUCCGCAAUCCUAAUUUGCGAAACAUAAACCUCUCUUCGUCAGUUAUGCUUUCAGGGUCUGAUUUGGGUUCCGAUGGCAUCAAAGAUGACUCCACUUUCAUCAAGGCUCGUUCAGCUCUCAUUACCUUUCUUUCAGCCUGGUAUAAGUGAAAAUCCCAGGAUCAAUCACAAUAAUAUAUAUGCCAAGUUGGAAAACAAUCCUAGAGUGGAGUUAGGACAUCAAAGAAGACAACAAGAAUGUAAAAAACUCCAAGGCACUUACACAUCAAACAUAAUAUCUAUAACCAUUGGUGAUAAGGCCUUAUUUAGAGUCAUACUAAGCACGUUUGGAAAUUAAACAAGCUUAGCGGUUAUAAAAAGUGCUUAAACUUGUUGAUAAUGUAUGGAUUUGUGUCAGGUGCAAAAUAAGUAAUAAAUAUUUUUUUCUCCUUGUAAACUUGGUCUAUUGCCUUCAUUAUUCAUUGUUUUAAUGCCUGUAAGAAAACCCUUAGGGAACUAUCAUUUUUCUCAAUCAUGGAAGUGACUUAACAUGAAAUCCAUUAGCAAGUUGAUAAGAGAUUUCUAUUCACUUACCAGAAACAGAUUUCGUUCUAACUUGUUAACAACUUUGGUAUGUCGUUGUAGUUCUACUUCUCUCAUUAUUUUUUGUUUGUGAUGUUCGUCCAAGGUCUUUCGCCACUUUGCAUCAGCAUCCAAAGUUUCACCAAGGGUCCCAGCCUCUGCAGAUAUCUCUGAAUUAUUAAUUGUUGGUAAGAUCAAAGAUGACGCUCUCAAUCUUGCUUGUUCUUCCUCAUCUUGCAUUGCUUUUGCCAUUCUUUCCCUCUCCUUCAAGGCUUGUGUGACUGUUGCUGACAAAAAGUUCUUUCCCCGAUAAAAGACCAAGAAGUAUUUAUUCCUCGAGAGUAGUACACCACCUGUCAAUUUCUGGGAAAAAAAAAGUAAUAAUUUAUCAACAGCAUAUAACAGGCAACCAUUUAUUAUUAUUUCAGUAUUUGUCUAUAACUAGAUUCGUUGAUGCAUGUAAAGUCCAUCCAACACUAAUCUAAAUGCAACUUGCAAGGCCAUCUGACUAACUUCUAUAUAUUAAUAUACAGUUAGUUCAUAAUUUUACAUUCUAACUUAUUAAAUAUCUAUAUUUUUCCAAAAUCCCUUUAUAAUGUGAUAACUUCAAAAUAACUUGAUAUCACUUAAACUUGUUAGAGAUACAAAUCCAGCGCCAGACUUCCACCUAUAAGAGUUGAAUCCCUCAAGUGUUACAAACAUAAGUUGUGGAGCAGUCUUGACCCCUUAAAUACAUUUCAUGUCUACUAAAGGAAGCUGCCAUUAGCAAAUUAUGGAGAAAAAACCGUACAUUUUUUGAACACGGGAAAAGCUUUUUCAUUAUGAAACGGCAUACGUAAUAAAAAUAACGUUGAAGAAAAAACUGGGAAAAAGUCAACAUUUUUACAAGUGGAACUGGAAGAGACAUGAUUUAUCAUUUAUCACCUUGAUCUCUUCUGCCAUUCUCUCGCUUGUAGUUAGCGGCACACCGCGUUUGAGUGCAACCUUUGCAAUAGAACUUUUUUCCCAUAAUUUAAUCAUGGCUGUAGCUAACCCUUGAAGCUGUCUGUUUCUGCCUAUACACAAUGAUUAAUUUAUAAUCAGCACGAAACUAUAUACACAAUGAUUAAUUUAUACUUCACAUGCACAAGAGAAUUAAUUGCUAACCUAAUGCAAAAUGUGGAGGAAGGGUCCUUGCAAUCCUUCGUAGAGAAGUUGCCUCUGUUUGACCAAGCGAGGGUCUCACUCCAAAGGGAAGAACUCUGAAGGGAGGCUCAUAAUCAGGAACAGUUGCUGGAAGCAUAUCUGCAUCAACUGGCAACGGCUCACUCCCAGGCCAAUCUGUGUAUCUAGGGCCUAGAGUAUCCAAAAAUUUGCCUACUUCAUCUUCGUAAGUAACUUCUGGAAGCAAAUUUUUUUCCUUUUGGUCAUCAGUAGCUUCCAUUUUUUCCAAAUGUGGACUUGUCCCAAAAUUAGAAGCAAUGUCAGAAUGCUUUUCCAAUGAACGAUGAGGUGGUGCUGGUAGAGACUUAAAAGAAUUCUCACUUUUCCCAUAUAUCUGUUUGUUCUGUUGCACUGAAGAACUCCCUCUUUUCCUAUAUAUCCACUUGUUCUGUUGUAUUGAAGGAGCUUCAUAGCUCACACCCCUGUACAAGGAAACAGAGUUGCCAGACCUCCAAACCACGAGACCACCAGUUUUCCUCUGAAUGUGAUUUUAAAAUAAUCAAGAAUAAGAAUAAGGCGAUGACCAAUGAAGAAUAUAUCCACACCCCAACAAUAUAAAAGAAAAGAAAACACAUAAACAAAACAAUAGCAGUCAGAAGAAGCAAGUUGAACAUGUAAUCAUAGAGCAUUCAACAUUCAAACAAAUCCCUAAGGAUAAUUGGGAUUAUUCUAACAAGAGAUGUGGUUGAUCAAGAAAUGUAUCCAAAUCCAAAAGAGAGGAAGUAUUCUCUCGAAUUCUAGAAAAUGUCACAAGAAUUCAUCACUAUAUGAAAAAAUUUGUGAAAAAGAAAUAUCAUGUUUCACAUCAAAACCUUUUAAGAAUAUCAGAACAUGUCAUACGGACAGAUUUGACCUUGGAUGUCCAACUAUAACACCAAGAAAGGGAAGGUGUCUAUAGAAUGCUAUUCAAUUCAUCUAAGACAAGUUUACCUAUGCUUCACAAAGACACUGUUACCUUCAAUACACUAUUGCAUUUGAAUCUAAUUAUCAUUAUAAGUUAUAAAUGAAGCUAAACUAAACAUAGAAGACUUAGAUACAUGAAACUAAGCCAAAGGUAGAAGGCAAACCUCCAGUAGCUCGUGCAUCCUCUUCAUGUUAAGUGCAGCUUCCCCUUCGAAUUUCAGCCUAACAAUCUCCGACUCUUUCCACCUCUCAUGAAUCUUGUCCACAAGACCUUGAGUAACCCCACCACCUCCAACUCUGGUCUUAUGCUUCUUCUCGAAAGUUAAGCGCCUCAGCCUCCUCAAUUCCGACUCUGGAAGAGUCAGUUCUGCAAGAGAAGUCUUACUUUCCCUCCUUCUUCGAUUAUACCUCUCUUCCUCUUCUUUCUCUUUAUCUAUUGGCUUCUCCCAUGGAAAUCUUACUAUUUCAGAUCUUAUCUUCUCCACUUUCUUUUGCAAAUUUGAAAUAUGCUUCAAGAGAGCCUGUUAUCAGUGGAAAAGGGAAAUUAAAAAAGAGCAUGCAUUGUACUAGUAAGUACAAUACUAGAAGAAAAUUAGGAUAAAUUAUCAAUUAAUUAGAGAGACCUACAAGUGUUUUUGGAUUUUGCAUGAAGAUUGAUAUUAGAUAUCACGAAACAAAAGUUUGUAUCAAUACCUCACGUCGUUGGAGCUCAAUUGACCGUGCUAGAGCCUUUCUCUUUGUCAAAAGAUUCUUCGGUCUUAGAGUUAAAGGUCGCUGGUAGUCCUUACCCCGGUAAACAACUAUAGCAUAUCCUUUUGAAACUUUGUCAACCGAAACUAAAAUGCCUCCACUCUCGGCUUCGAGUGCCAAUGCGACCUUUUUCACUUGAUCAAAGGUUUUAGCCUUCACAAUUAUCUUAACCAGUUCCCUAUAUUUCCAGUGCAGGUGCAUGUUCUCAAUUGUACCAUCAAAAACUCCACGU